AGAAAUUUAGGAUUACCAUUAAACCAAGGGCCUUCAAAGCCCUAAACAAGAGUAACACUCUUAAUUUCUG
rnacentral:tRNA from 1 species